rnacentral:lncRNA from 1 species
AUGGGAAAAGCAUCCGGAACUGAGGAGAGGACAAGGCUCAGGAACCAUGGUCCCUCAGUGACGGUGCCGCUCACCGCUGUGGAACACCCUCCCGGGAGCCUUCGUCAGCCUGCUCCCCGCAGGCCCCACUCCCCACCGACUGAUGGACAAGCCGGGCCCGUCCUGGUCGACACCUGGUGCCCGCCCGAGCUUCCCUCCAUCCCGGCACACGGGCCGCCCUCCGUCCCUCCAUCCCUCCAUCCCUCCGUCCCUCCGUCCUGGCACACAUGCCACCCUCUGUCCCUCCAUCCCUCCAUCCCUCCGUCCCAGCACAUGGGCCACCCUCCUUCCCUCUGUCCCUCCGUCCCUCUGUCCCUCUAUCCCGACACGCAGGCCACCCUCCGUCCCUCUGUCCCUCUGUCCCUCCGUCCCGGCACACAGGCCUCGCUCCAUCCAUCUAUCCCUCCGUCCCAGAACACGGACCUCGCUCCAUCCCUCCAUCCCUCUGUCCCAGCACACGGGCUGCCCUCCGUCCCUCCAUCCCUCCAUCCCUCUGUCCCUCCGUCCUGGCACACGGGCCGCCCUCCGUCCCUCCAUCCCUCCAUCCCUCCGUCCCUCCGUCCCGGCACACAUGCCACCCUCUGUCCCUCCAUCCCUCCAUCCCUCCAUCCCUCCAUCCCAGCACAUGGGCUGCCCUCCUUUCCUCUGUCCCUCCGUCCCUCUGUCCCGGCACACGGGCCUCGCUCUGUCCCUCUGCCCCGGCACACGGGCCGCCCUCCAUCCCUCGGUCCCAGCACAGAGUUAGUGAGUCUUAUCUUCUUGUGGCAGAAAUCACGGUCUCUGCUUCAGGACGGCAUGGAUGCCGGGUUGUGAGUCAUUGUCCCCUAAGGGUGGUGGUGGCCUUACAGUGUCUCCUUUCUAGGAAUCUUUCUCCUUCUUUUUCUGAUGAGUAAGUGGGACCACGUGUUAAAGACAUUCGCACCUUACCUUACCUUAGUGUGCAUUCCCCACCAACGAGGGUCGUCGCACUGCAGCCCACUGUCCCCAGAGCCGGGACGGUGCCCGGGACACAGGAGCCACUGGUCGGGGUUGAUGUGAAUUUUUAAAGUCAAGAGGCUAAGUGGGCUAUUUGCUAUUCCUGACCAAAAUUUUAAUAUACGAAGCCACCCCACUAAGUAAUUGUGUGUGUGCAUGUGUAGGGUGAUAAACGUUUAAUUCUGUUUUCACUUACCGAGUUUUGGAGUGGUUUGUGCCGCAGCAGUAUAUAUUGUGUACAUUGAAUAGGAUGUGUGUUAGGGUUUUGCCCUAAGAUCGUUAACUUAAUCCACAUGAGAGUAAAGAAGCCGAAUACUCAAAGCUCCUUGGAGGGAGGUGUUAGUAAGCGGAGGUGAAGAAAAUCUUCGGAAAAGGCAAACAUCAACCAGGAGACUGUCACCGGGUCAUUGUGGCAGGGAGUGGCUGGCUGGCCCCCAAACCCGUCUCCUGUGGACUUGCCGGGCGCCCCUGCCGCUGGUGGGGGGGACACGGAGCGCCAAGCCAGCCACUGGCCGAGCUCAUGAAAACCCUUUGGAUUCCGUCUGCUGGCGGGUGGGAGGGACCAUGCAGGGCGACCCCGGGAGCCAUGCGUGGAAGAUGACAGAUCCCGGUGAGCCUCGGGGCAGAUGGUCCCCACAGCACACGGGGGCCUGCCAUCCACAGGGCGGCCUCACAGGUCAUCCCGGGCAGCUUCCUGGGCAUGAGGCUGCACACUGGGUUCCGGCCAUGUCAGGAAGGAAGGGACAUGCAUCGCUGUGCCCCAUACAUUGGUGCAUGUUAACCAUUUGGCCCCAGGGGAGUGAAAUCCGCUUCCUCAGAAGGUCCAUGAGCCUCCGAGGCCCCUUCCUGGACCAGCUAAUUUUGCAGAAGAUAUCUUGCUGUAUGGGAUCGUUGGCAAGCUGGAGAGCUGUGGAAUACCUAGUUUCCUUCCUGUUCCUACAAACUGUGGAGGAAAUUGUUGUUGCAUUUCGUCGAACACCCGGGACACCGAGUGCGUUCCCCGGAGCGUAUCCUGGUGCUCACCCGGGGUGAUGGUCUGGUGUUUGUUUCAGGAUCAUACGUGUUUUGCUUUGACUGUUUGAUUGUCUUUAAAGUGGCUUCUGUGUGUGUGUGUGUGUGUGUGUGUGUGUGGCAUAGGUGGGUAUGUGUGUGCAUGUGUAUGACAUAUACAGGUCCCCUAAGGAGUGAAAUGUUUUUAUAAAAGGCAAUUAAGUCCUUUGAAAAUAACAGCAGAAAAACCAACCCUCAUGGCGCAGCGCCUUUAUGCUGGCACAGGCAUUGAUCUGAUGGCAGGUGACUCUGCAGAAGAGCUGUCCUGGCACAUCUGGGUGGCGAUCCCUUUAUUCCAAGGACAAGAAGAGAGAUAUGCCAUUUUGCUUAAAGCAAAAAUCCAUCAUUUACACACCUUCUCUACAUCCCCACCUGGGAAUUUAAAAUCACGUUAGGAGCUUUAAUUAAGGAAGCAUCACAAUAUGCCUGUGGGUGAGAUGAGAAAUAUUAUCCCAAUUUGGCUGGUAGGCAGAGCGAUACAGAGGAGUGUGAGCGAGCUUUUGAAGGUCACCCAGUGAGUUAAUGAAAUCCUUGGAAAUAUGUCUGUCAGUGGCCUUUAUUUUUUGCUGUUGGUACAAGGGUUUUAAACCUUUCCAAUGAGUACUGGUUUUCCAACGGAUGAUUCUGGGGCGUGGGGCCAUGGUGGACACAAACUGGCCAUGGAGCCGUGGCUUCCAUCCUGGGUUGCCGGGGAGCUGUCAAUUCAAUGAGCCUGAGAGUAAAUGUCCACUAAAUCCACCACCCUUCGUGAAUGCAGAUCAUCCUUGAAGUCUCGGGCUACCUUGAGUUCCCCCCAGAACCUCAGCGAUAGCCACAAGUAAAUGCCAAUGUGUGCUCUGAAGAGACUUUUCAGGGCGCCUCCAGCCUCCCACAGAGUUCUGGUUGCACAUGUAACUUCCAGGAACAUUUUGGUGGUGACAGUCAAGGUCAGAGGAAGGUGUCACCACCUGACAUUUCCCAGCCUCCAUCUAUAUGCGCGUGUUCUGGAAGGAAAGCAUCUGAACCUGGGCUAAGCUUUGUCGUGGCCCGUCUUGCCAACCAUGUGUUUUAUUAAAUUCUUUCUGAGACUCUACAUGAAUAAACAUAUGCCCGGAGCUGCA